AAAAGUUUUUGAACAAAGUAGGUGACAUGACUAUUCCACUUCAAAUAUAUUAUAUUUUCCUGGGCCAGAAAGGUCUCAACUGAAGAUGAGGAGCAGAUAAAUGUGAAUGGAAUAAAGAGAGGGAAGACGUGUUCUCUGAUGCUGGAAUAUCAGGAUCUAUUUGCCCACAUCUCCUGCCUUUUUCCUGUGAACAGGCAGAAGAGGACUGUCAAGAAGAUCUCUGAUCUUCUCCUUUGGAGUGCUGGCAGCAAAGGAAGACAAUUGGGCUGCAGAACUACAGAGCUGAAUAAGCUUGUUGCCUCCUUCACCACCAGGAACAAAAUAGAAGCAGAGAUGGACCACAGCAGAAGACAAAUACCACUACCGAAGACUGGAGUGACUGAAGUGUAACAGAGGUGAUAUGAGGUGGAAGGCCUAAAUAUAAGACAGGACAGGCACUGACUUUGACAUGGAUGGUUUUGACCAUCCUCAUCUGACUCAGGAUUUGCUCAAUGAGCUCUCUUAGCUUGGUGCUUUAUGUAUUCUUUUCACAGGUGAAGAAAUUCUGUCUGAAUGUUUCAAAAACCCCUUGCAUACUGGGGAGUUAAUUGAGAAAGCUUAAGUUAAAUAAGUGCAGAGAUUUAACGCAUUGAUGAACUAGGUUAUCAGCUGAUAUCCCAAUUGUCUGAAAUAUUCAUCUAUCUGAACAGCAUGUAGAAGUUGUGUUCAUUCCCACAAUUGUUCAGCUUUUUACCAAUCAUGCGGUUUUAGCCACAGUAAUAAUUCAUUUGGAAGACCUUGGAGACAAACAUUAUUCAAAUCACUUGAUCCAUUUACUAUGUUGUUGAAAAGUGAACAAGAGCACUGUUUGACGUAUCUUUUCCUUUCCUUUUUUUUUUUUUUAUCAUGAAUUGAGGAAUUGAGUUAGGGAAUUUUUAUACAAGCCCAACUACAUAAGGACACUGAGAAGUUCUACAGUAGAAGGAGCAAAAAAAUAAGGAAUGUGAUCUUUUUAAAUAACUAAUUUUCUGGUUAGUUGGCUGAACUUGAAAACCGAAAAGAAAAAUCCAGUCAGAUAAGUGAAGAUUAUAUAUAUAUAAAUAAAAACUUAAUAUGGGGGAAAAAAAUAUGUGUU
rnacentral:lncRNA from 1 species